GAAGUUUCAUUACAGUAAUCGUUAGCAUACGAAGCAUACUGAAACACGUUGAAAUUUAGAUGUUGAUCAUGGUAUCAUCGUAUGGAGUGUUUAGUUUUCCUUAAUCAAAUGUAGUGAUGAGCAAUUCUUUCUGAUACGCAAAUUUGCGCCGUGAAGUCAAUCAAAUAUUAGACAUGCAUGACUCUGACAUGGAUUGAUUGAUGGUUGAAUAUUGGAAAGCUGUAGCCCAUGUAUGUACUUUUAAGCUUUUACUAUGGGAAGAUGUAAAAGUAACUCGACUUGGUUUGGAAAUGGCUGUGAUGUGGUGCAAAAUAUUGCUCCAGGUGAUGAAUAAACAACUUAUGCAUGUGUAUUGGUUUAAAAGAGGCACAGGCUGCUGGAUGUCCUGUUCAAGGUGUGUCAAAAUGCCUGAAUUAGUCAAAAGAUAAUGCAAUAAUUGGUGCUUUCAAGAACAUGUACCUGCUGUUGAUUCAUCAUUUGUGGUGUCCUUUGGUUGGCUGGAGUCUCCAUUUGAUGAAGGUGUUGGAUGUAACUAUGCCUGAAGAGGGGCAUUUGCUUCAAGGGGUUGGAUUGUAAGGUGGAUUUUAGCUGGUGACAUACGACAACUUUAGUGCUGACAUUCAUACUUUUCGUAUAAGGAUUUAUUCAGCCGCUAAUGGAAUUAAUUAACAUUGGGGGUCAUCAUGAAUUGGGUACUGAUGUUGGGGCUAUGUGAACUCUUCUGUAGAGCAGUUCAAGAUCAUAACCAUGGACCAUUUGUUAGUUUAUCAAAACUUGGGGUACUUACCUGCCUAUAUAGUAGAACAUCGUAGUACUGUGGAAUAUCAUUGGAACUGUACAAUAUCUGAGUAUAUAUUUUGAAGUCAGAUGGGCCUACGUAGUAUGGACCUUCAGCAAUAGUGCUAAAAUUAGACUGUUGUGUUUGGGUGGUGGAAAUGAGGCCUAUCACAAAUCAAGGAUGAAAUUACCUUGGAUUAUGGAAUGGAAAAUGCAAAACCGAGUCUACUAGGUAAAGUAGAGAAUGUCGAUCAAAUUGAGAAGUUGUAGUGAGAUACCAAUUCAUGUUAAUUGCUCUAUCACAGAUUGAAGUUUACUUUGAGAUGGUUUUGAUUAGCAUGUUUAGUGGUUAUUUUCCGUAGCGAUUUGCAUUUUGUUAAUGGAGGAGCACACAGAUUUUUAAGUUGGGUUUUUAUUUUUUGCUUGCCAUCUGCUAUGAAGGUAUUUGUCACAUUGCAAAUUCAUAUUGAUGUAUAUGAAAGGUGUUAUUAGUUGACAUAGAUUACUGUUAAUUUGAGUAACUAAAUAUUCACUUGUAGAAGUUUGGAGGAACAGUUAUCUUGGCGUGUGUUGGGGUGGGUUUAACCCUUCCAUUUUUUAUUUUUGCUAUGUGUACAUUGUAUCAUAUUAAAGAUUUAUCUAGAAAGCAACAUUUGUGCAUGUAAGUAAGAAGGUUAAGUUAAAAUGUGGUAGUCCCAGUUCUUUUUUCUUUUUAAAUGCUCGUUGAAAUUUCUCGUUUCUAUUCAUGAUGUAGACAUUCAGAACAGCCAUGAAGAUGUGGUAAAUCUGUUGAACUUCUGGUGAUGUUGGAGACUAAUACUCAUUGGAAUAAUAUGGAUUAGAAAGUAAAGCACCAUCCUUUGUAUGUUGGGAAUAUUUUAUCAGGAAGAUGACGUUUAUUAAAGUAAUUAUGUUUAUUCUAACGAAAAUAUUUAAUGGUUGAAACUAGGAAACGUGCUGAUUGAAGUUUGCGUGGAUAUUAGUGGAUAUACACCAUUAUUGCUUUUGUUGCCCGCAUUGGUAAUCAGUUCUUGUCGCUGUAGAACAGAUAGAUGGUAUUUCUUCCCGUUUUGAUCAUUAUUGUUAAACAAAUUUCAUGCUGUUAGGAGCUUUUCCGUAACCAUGUCCAUUUGGUCAGCAGCCCAAGGCGAAGCUUGGUUUCUCAACUCAUUUAUCCCCUCCCCCUUCUCCAAUUCAGGCCAUUCGAAGGUUUGAUCCCGUUCGGACCAACAUAAAUUUUCAUCGCGAUUGGAGUAUUAAACUUACUGUUUUUAGUGGGAUAUGUAUAUUUCUAAACCAACUUCUUUCUACUUCUAUAUUCCUUUUUCCAUUCUUUACUUUUUACUUUCUCGGUACAUGGUUCUUUACCCUUGCUCCUUUUGUAGGAACAUAGGUAGCUAUUCUUGCAGGUAGUGACUGAUCGAGUCGAGAGGGUUUUUCAUGUUAUAAAUGACUCUGUGUUAAAAUAUUUGACAACAAGUUAAAUGUCUGGGCUUUAAA